GACGAACGCUGGCGGCGUGCUUAACACAUGCGAGUCGAACGGAAAGGCCCUGCUUUUGUGGGGUGCUCGAGUGGCGAACGGGUGAGUAACACGUGAGUAACCUGCCCUUGACUUUGGGAUAACUUCAGGAAACUGGGGCUAAUACCGGAUAGGAGCUCCUGCUGCAUGGUGGGGGUUGGAAAGUUUCGGCGGUUGGGGAUGGACUCGCGGCUUAUCAGCUUGUUGGUGGGGUAGUGGCUUACCAAGGCUUUGACGGGUAGCCGGCCUGAGAGGGUGACCGGCCACAUUGGGACUGAGAUACGGCCCAGACUCCUACGGGAGGCAGCAGUGGGGAAUAAUGCACAAUGGGCGGAAGCCUGAUGCAGCAACGCCGCGUGCGGGAUGACGGCCUUCGGGUUGUAAACCGCUUUCGCCUGUGACGAAGCGUGAGUGACGGUAAUGGGUAAAGAAGCACCGGCUAACUACGUG
rnacentral:rRNA from 1 species